UACGUAGGGAGCAAGCGUUGUUCGGAUUUACUGGGCGUAAAGGGCGCGUAGGCGGCGCGGUAAGUCACUUGUGAAUCUCUGAGCUUAACUCAGAACGGCCAAGUGAUACUGCAGUGCUAGAGUGCAGAAGGGGCAAUCGGAAUUCUUGGUGUAGCGGUGAAAUGCGUAGAUAUCAAGAGGAACACCUGAGGUGAAGACGGGUUGCUAGGCUGACACUGACGCUGAGGCGCGAAAGCCAGGGGAGCAAACGGG
rnacentral:rRNA from 1 species